rnacentral:rRNA from 1 species
AAUCAACGCUGGCGGCGUGCCUCAGACAUGCAAGUCGAACGAUUAAAGCUCUCUUCGGAGAGUGCAUAGAGUGGCGCACGGGUGAGUAACACGUAAGUAAUCUACCCUCGAGUGGGGAAUAACAACCGGAAACGGUUGCUAAUACCGCAUAAUGCAGCGGCACCGCAAGGUGACAGUUGUUAAAGAUUUAUCGCUUGAGGAGGAGCUUGCGGCAGAUUAGCUAGUUGGUAGGGUAACGGCUUACCAAGGCUACGAUCUGUAACCGGUCUAAGAGGACGGUCGGUCACACUGACACUGAAUAACGGGUCAGACUCCUACGGGAGGCAGCAGUCGGGAAUUUUGGGCAAUGGGCGAAAGCCUGACCCAGCAACGCCGCGUGAAGGAUGAAGUAUUUCGGUAUGUAAACUUCGAAAGAAUAGGAAGAAUUAAUGACGGUACUAUUUAUAAGGUCCGGCUAACUACGUGCCAGCAGCCGCGGUAAGUCUCGCGUGA